rnacentral:rRNA from 1 species
AAUGAACGCUGGCGGUAGGCCUAACACAUGCAAGCCGAGCGGUAUUUGUUUAUCAGCACGGAGUUACCGGCGCCCGGGUGCGGAACACUUAUGCAACCAUCCUUUAUCUGUGGGAUAGCCUUUCGAAAGGAAGAUUAAUACCCCAUACUAUAUUGAGUGGCAUCGUUUGAUAUUGAAAACUCCGGUGGCUAUAGAUGGGGACGGGCGAGAUUAGAUAGUUGGUGAGGUAACGGCUCACCAAGUCAAUGAGCUUUAGGGGGGCGGAGAGGGUGAUCCCCCAGAACUGAACUGAGACACGGACCAGACUGCGACGGGAGGCAGCAGUGAGGUAUAUUGGACAAGGGGUUAGCGUCUGAUCCAGCCACCCCGCGUGAAGAACGACGGCCCUAUGGGUUGUCAUCUUCUGUUGUAGAGGGAUAAACCGACUCUCGCGAGAGUAGCUGACGGUACUAUACGAAUAAGCACCGGCUAACUCCGUG